ACUUAUGUAGUUUAAUGAAAACAUUACAUUUUCAUUGUAAAAAUAAAUAUAUUUAUUUUUUAAGUA
rnacentral:tRNA from 1 species